UCUCAUCUCAGCCUCUCACACAGCCGCUCCGUCACUGCUGGUAGAAUUCCAGCAGUGGCCCGAUGUGAACUGUGCAGAGAAUGUGACCCCUAGAAGCCCUUUGAGGUUGCCUAUGCUAGAUGACUCUACUUUUUAAAGAGGCUUUCUGUGCCCUUGCUUUUUCUCAUGAAUCAACUCUUGCCUCUUAGCAGAUCAGCCGGGGGUGGCUCGUGGAUGACCGCCAAACCUUCUGCUUGGUGUUUUGUCCAUGGCGCAUUUGGACUAUGCUACAAAGGGAAUUCCUACUCUAAUUCAGAGGCUCGGGUACCAAGGCCACAAGCAGGAGCAACAGCACUUCCUCCCUGGCAUGGGGGAAAAAAUCCUAGAAGAUCCAGUCUGGGGAGUAAGCCACUGUGAAUGGAAUCUUGGACAACAGUUCAUUUCAUAGAGACGCCUUUACCCGAGUAAUCAAGUGGGGACCUUAUGAGGAUAGCUGCCCUCCUAAGGGUGACCUAUGUGGCUGUCGCUGGACUCACAGAGCUAAAGCAGCAAAGAAUACUCUUCAGAGGGUCGAGCAGAAGGGCUACUGGGAGAGAACAAGGCCAUGAGUAAGAAGGCGCUAUGAAGUGGUUAUGAGCACCCACAGGACAGCAACAUCAAGACAUGUGUACAAUGGCGGCUAAGAUGCCCAGACCCCAGAUACGAUUUCUGCCUACCUUACUAAUAUGGACCGGAGCUGUGCACCACGCCUCUACUUAUGAACCCUGCCAUCCAUGAAAACUUUCAAUUUCACAAGAAUAGUGAGGCAUAUUUACAUGGAGAAGAUGUUCCCGUGGACCACUCACCACCCAGAUCCUCCCUCAGGAACAAAAGACAAGCCCUGCUGCCAGCCUGCUCUAGAGAGUGAAUAAGCUAUGAGGAAGGAUGGUCAGCUAAAGUCAGACCUCGAUGGAGUACAGUCCGUACUCAAAGACGGAUUGGUGUGGGUCCAUUCAAGCCUCAGAAGGACCAUGCUAUUAUUAGAGCUCAUCGUUGAGA